GCAUGUACAGGAGAUUUGGCUCUAGCAUCUGUCCCCAAAUUAAUCGCCAGGAUUGAUUUGGCUGAUCUAAUUGGCUAGACCCCUUUCCUCCCUGACUGCUCCCUGGGUAUUUCUCCAUAUGGAGUUAUUUAAUUAGCCAGAGAUAAAACUUCUCAUUCAUUCAUUCAACAAAGAUUUAUUGGUUGUCUACCACGUGCACUGUGUAAGUUGCUGAGGGACAAAGCAGUGAAUAAGACAGACAUACUUAUCACCUCGUGAUACUUGAGUAGUGU
rnacentral:snRNA from 1 species